AACGAACGCUGGCGGUGUGCUUAACACAUGCAAGUCGAGCGCGAAACCACUUCGGUGGGAGUAGAGCGGCGCACGGGUGAGUAACACGUGAGUAUCUACCCUUUAGUCUGGCAUAGCUACGCGAAAGUGUAAUUAAUACCGGAUAAGUCCCUUCGGGGAGAAAGGCGGCCUCUUCUAUGCUGUCGCUGAAGGAUGAGCUCGCGCCCCAUUAGUUUGUUGGUAGGGUAAUGGCCUACCAAGACUACGAUGGGUAGCUGGUCUUAGAGGAUGAUCAGUCACACUGGAACUGAGACACGGUCCAGACUCCUACGGGAGGCAGCAGUGGGGAAUAUUGCGCAAUGGGCGAAAGCCUGACGCAGCAACACCGCGUGGGUGAUGAAGGCCUUCGGGUCGUAAAGCCCUGUCCUAGAGGACGACGAUACAUCGGUUAAUAACCGGUGUUGACGACGGUACUCUAGAAGAAAGCACCGGCUAACUCCG
rnacentral:rRNA from 1 species